GCUAGAGUGCACUGUCUUUGAAGCAUUGAGCAGGCCCCCACCAGACACCAAAUCUGCUGGUUCCUGGAUCUUGGACUUCCCAGCCUCAUAACUAGGCAUCACAAAUCUCUGAGAGGAACGCAUCCACUUCCUGGCCUGGUAGAGCGGAAAGCAGAGGUGGGCCCAGGAGUCCAAGAACUUCCCCUAAGGCUGCUAGUCGCACCCAUCUCUUGAGCAGAGACCCAAGAGGGUAGGACAGGAAGAAUGGAAGCGAGAUUUGGCCCUGGUUAUGUUUUCCAAAGUGCUGACAUCAGGAAAAUAAUAGAAGUUAACGCAGAUAUGGGGCUGCCACUGAGGAGAGAGAAGACUGAAAGGAGCAUAUAGAUAAAAGUUUCAGUUACCUGAGGUCAACCUUGGUCUGAAAUUAGAUUAUUUGAGUAGGCUGAACCAUCAGUGAAAAGGAGGCCAAGCAUCUCAAAAAUAGGACACCUGAGAGUAUGGAGCCAGUGUGACACUCAGGUGAGUUAGCCUUAUGAUCCCUAAGCAUGCAGUCCUUGGACCAGAUGCAUCAGGAUCUUCUGGUAAGUGUGCUAAAAUAUAGGCUACUGAGACCCACCCUAUGUCUGUCAAAUCAGAAUAUUCUAAGGAAGCAGGUCCCAGGGAAUAUAUAUUUUAAAGCUCCCUAAAUACACUUCAUGGGCUGCCAGAUUUGGGAAUCGCAGGAUUAGGUAGCUACCUAAAUGAAGACACUUAAACGUGCCAAAAGCUUCUCUUUCACCCAUCUAUUUAUCCAUCUAUUCACCCAUCCAUCAACCAAACAUGUGCCAGUAUCUGGUAUUUGCUUCAUGACCUGCUACUGCUGUGGUGGGUGCAAAGAUAAAUGAUCAAUGUUCUCAAAGAGUCAAUAGUCUAAGAGAAUGGAUGAAUGAAGUAUAAAUAAUAAAAGAUGUGCUAUGAAGUACAAUGGGGGUCCAGAAAAGUAUAUACUUAUUCCAGAUUGUGGCAGAAGACUCUGGAGAGGUUUCGUUUUAUAUAAUGGCAUGAAUUCCCCUUCAGAUCCAUCUCUAAUUCAAGCUUCACCUACUUCUGACUGUUUGUGUUAGAUACCAAUCCUAUGGAUUUCUAUAGUUUUCUGGAAUUACUUUUUACACACUACAGUAGAGUUAUGUGGCUGCUUCCAUGUUUUACUUAGAAGCUGAGAGCUUGAUAAAAGUGAAGGCUGCAUCUUAAUCAUCACCUUUUCCCCCACCUCCUAGCUAGGGUCUGGCUCUGCCUAAGCAGCUGCCAUUGGUGCUCAAUAAACAUUGAAGAAGUUGGGUUGUUGCAUUGGUUAUGCAAAGAAGGGGGACAGUGGGUGUAAGCGUGGGGUGGGGAGCAAAGCUGGGACCAAUCAUGGAACACCUAGAAUUUGAAUCAAAUUUGGGCUUUAGUUUUUAGGCAAUGAGCCUAAGACAAUUUUGGAAGCAUCCUUUGUUCACAAAAAAGUUAGAAAUGGUGAGAACUAGGGCAGUCUAUCACAAAGUGUGGGAGAGGUAAUUUUAUAUGUAAACUAUUAUAAAUCACAUUUGAGUUAUGAAGUGAGACAAUUAUUCCCUUUGCAGUUUCAUUUCAUUCUGUCUAAUUAUUUCAGGGAGACAUUCUGAAUUGGGUGCUAGUAUUUUAACACUUCUCUAACACUUUCUCUUUUUAAAUUUUGUUUAUUUUUAAUUGACAAAUAAUAAUUGUGUAUAUUUAUGGGGUACAUUGGGCAUGGAGGGUGGGUUAUUCUGUGAUGUCUUGACCUGUGUAUACAUUGUAACACUUCUCUAAUACUUUCUAAUCCAGCCAUCCCCAACCUUUUUGGCACCAGGAACCGGUUUUGUGGAAGACGAUUUUUCCACAGAUGGUUGGGGGAUGAUUUUGGGAUGGAACUAUUCCACCUCAGAUCAUCAGGCAUUAGAUUCUCAUAAGAAGCAUGCAACCUAGAUCCCUCACAUAUACAGUUCACAAUAGGGUUCAUGGUUCUAUGAGAAUCUAAUGCUGCCACUGAUCUAACAGGAGGCAGAGCUCAGCUGAUAAUGCUUUUUCACCUGCUACUGACCUCCUGCUGUGUUGCCCAGUUCCUAACAGGCCAUAGACUGGUACCAGUCCAUAGCCUGGGGCUUGAGGACCCCUGCUCUAUGAUGCCUAUACAACAAUAAAAUUGCCUAAUGAUACAUUUCUCAGAAUGUAUACCCAUCAUUAAGUGACACAUGGCUGCUUGUGUAUUUUUAUAUAUAGCGAAAUGUGGCUAGAUUAGAUGUGAUAUCUCUUUGGAUGCAGGGAUAGGUGGGCAAGUUUCUAAAACACGAAACUAACUGUGUCUUUUCUCUGCUUAAGAACCUUCCAUGACUCCCUGUUGUUCAUAACCGGAUAAAUUCUAAGCUGCCUAACUCAGAGUUCUAGCUUAGAGAUGUCUACGCCUGGCUGCUUCCAACAGUUAGUCUCAUGUCCUGUCUCAAACAUGGAGCUUCAGUAAGAAUGAAAUUUCCAAGGAGAAUUUUAUAUUCUGCAUGCUUUUAAAGGCUCAAGCCUGGAGACCCCCCUUCUUGCCUCUCUUACCCUUUUCACCAGGGCACCCUCUAUUCAUCCUUCCAGAGCCUUCUCUGGGAAGUCCUUUCCCAAAGCCCACUUCCCAGCCUAAGCUUAGUGCUAUUUCUGUAGAUACCCAGAAACACAGCAACUAUAUGUACAGUUUACCCUAGUAUGUCAAAGUUAUAGUUACUGCCUUAGGAGGGAUUUUGAGCUUUUCAUCUUUAUUACUCGGGCUUCUGCUACUGUGUCAAGCAGGUAGUUGACACUCAACAAAUGUUUGUUUAGCCUAACUCAGCAGAACACAUGGAGUGUGUUCACAUGGAGUAACCUGAUUUUGCUUAGUCUGCAACAUUUCUUGCAUGCAUCCCCUGCUUGCAGUCUCAAUUACAGUCAUCCUGUUUCAGUUUUCUUAACUUGUCACUCCCUUCCUCUGUUAACUUUUGCCAUACCUCUGUAUAACAUGGCCUACUUUUUGAAAAAGAUUUUUUUACAUUCACCUACAUUUGUCUCAAAUUUGUUUUUAAAAGAAACUUUGUAUUACUACCGUCAUUGAAAACCUUCAUCACUUGGCACAAAAGAAAGUUUAAAAAAUACAACAAAAGACAUUCUACUAAAUUCUGGCUAGACAACCUUGCCUGCUCUAGUAGAUGCACUGAGACCAUUAAUGAAUCUUUCAUCCCACCUUGUGUCAUCCUCUUUGCCACAUGACUUUGGGUCUCCCUCACUACUAGGCAAGUUCCUGUCUCCAUCUCUUGAUUCUGAAUUCAGCCAUAACACUUGCUCUGCCCAAUGUUGUUUUAGCAGAUUUGACACAUACAGAAGCGUGAAAAACUCUUGUGUGACUGGGAUAGCUCCUCUGCAAUGAGAACAUGCCUGGGAUAAUGUACUGAAAAGAUGUGAGAAAUACAUGAAGCAGAGUCCAGUCAUCCCAGCCAAGAACCAGCUGUGAAUGUAACCGCAUGACUUUGAGGCAAGUCCAGACCAAGAACAAAGAACCACUGGUCUUAAAGACAGACCUGCAGAUUCCUGAGCUAAAUAAAAGUUUGUUGUUGAAAGGC
rnacentral:lncRNA from 1 species